rnacentral:lncRNA from 1 species
ACAAUGGCAAAAUCAGACAGACUUCUUUUCAAAUACAGAUCUCCAAUGUCCCCCUCCAGUCUGCAGCUGCACGGCUGGUGGUGUGGCUCAGACGGAGCAAGGGUUACAUCAAGGCUGCUCUCUGGACCGUGCAAACAGUCUAGACCAAUGACCUGCAGCAUCAUGCCCUUUGAAGAAGAGGCAAGUUCGGUCAUGAUGAAGAAGAAUCGAGGCGUACCCCCUUUUAACAAUAGGGAGCAGCUCGAGGCUGCAAAGAGGGAAUCUUGAGGAACCCAUUAAUGUAAAGCUGCGGCCAGAGUUCCAUGAGGAGGCAGAAUGUUCUAGAUGAUCCCUGUCUCUUCUCCAUUGAGGAAGUCGUUUCUUGCCUCUCUGUAAGCUCAGUUAAUGUAAGUAGAUUCUGGUUGUAACAGGAAAUGAAAAAAAAAAA